GGAGAAGGGUUCCAUGUGAACAGCAGUUGAACAUGGGUCAGUCGGUCCUGAGAGAUAGGCGAGUGCCGUUCUGAAGGGAUAGUGAUGGCCUCCAUCGCCAUCAGCCGAUCAAAAGGGAGUUGGGUUCAGAUCCCCGAAUCUGGAGUGGCAGAGAUGAGCGCUGCAAGGUGUCCAGUGUGGUAAUGUGACUGAUCCUGGAGAAGCCGGCAGGAGUCCCGGGGAGAGUUCCCUUUUCUUUCUUUUUUUUUAAUUAAAGAAAGUUUCUAAAGAUCACCCCUGGUCAGCAUCAAGUAAGCAUCAUCUCAAUGUACUCAUUUUUAACUCCAUUAUGUAAAAUUAAUUGGUCUAGUGAAAUUCAUAUAUAAAGCAAAUAUUC
rnacentral:ncRNA from 1 species